AGGAUAUUGACCUAUAAUCAAUCCUCCUCUCUUUUUCUUCCUUCCUUCCUUCCUUCUUUCUUUCCUCCUAUUUAUUUAUUUAUUUAUUUUUUGGUGAUGUCUUUGUUUUGUUUUGGUAUCAGCAUAAUUCUUGCUUCAAAGGAAGUGUCUGGAUGUCAUUCCCUCCUCUUCAGUUUUUUGGAGAAGUUUGAAAAGGGUGUUUUGCCUCACAUGUCUCAGAUUUUGGAAAGUCAAGGCUCAAUGAUACUUUUUAAGCCUCUACAGGAUUAAAUGUAUAGAUCUUACAACCCAGAGCUGUUUAACACUUGCUUCUAGUGUGUUUCAGGUACAUUUUUACAUUAAACAAGUUUUUAUGUGUCAAUCUGGGAAUGUAAUUAUCAUUUAUAAACUUGUUUCCUCACUAAAAAUGUAUUUUGAGUCCAAAACAAAUACAUUAAAAAUUUU
rnacentral:lncRNA from 1 species